CCAUCCCUGGUUGCAGAUCAAUUAAUGUUUCUCUCCAAUGCUCCUAUUUCCUGUCUGGUACGGUUUCCAUUAUGGUGGAAAAGAGCAGGGUAGUCUGACCUUGGAAAAGGGCUAUAAUCCAGUGGCUUUAUAGAGAUGAGGAAGCAGCUUUGACAAGCAGAAGUUAAACCCUAGAUGGUCCAGGACUAUCUAGCCAUUGCUUAAUCUUCUUAAUAUGGUAAGACAAAUCCCAUUCUUCAUUUUUAUAUUAACAUAUUUCAAUUUUAUUACAGUUUUUAACU